rnacentral:tRNA from 2 species
GCCCGAGUGGUGGAAUGGUAGACACGACAGAUUCAAAAUCUGUUGCCGAGAGGCGUGUCGGUUCGAGUCCGACCUCGGGUA